UACGAUUCUUGGUUCAUCCGGA
rnacentral:siRNA from 1 species